UACGGAGGUGGCAAGCGUUACUCGGAAUCAUUGGGUGUAAAGGGCAGGUAGGCGGCUAGAUAAGUGAGGGGUGAAAUCCCACGGUUCAAUCGUGGAACUGCCUUUCAUACUGUCUGACUUGAGAGUGACAGGGGAAAAUGGAAUUCUCGGUGUAAGGGUGAAAUCUGUAGAUAUCGGGAAGAACACCAACGGCGAAGGCAAUUUUCUGGGUCACAUCUGACGCUGAACUGCGAAAGCUAGGGGAGCAAACAGAAUUAGAUACUCUGGUAGUCCUAGCCGUAAACGAUGAGUACUAGGUGUUGGUCCCUUCGGGGAUCGGUGCCGAAGCUAACGCAUUAAGUACUCCACCUGGGGACUACAGUCGCAAGGCUAAA
rnacentral:rRNA from 1 species